CAUUUGGAGGAGCUGGGUGGAUUUUUUUUACCUGGUGUCCAGUGGGUCUUCUUGCAUAGAGGAAGGCAGGCAUGCAAGCACUUGGGCGGCUAACUAAACAUCCAGGCAGGUGGGCGGCACUGGCGAGGGAGCACUGAUUUGUGAGCUGUCUCUACUCAGCUUCCUUGCGCGCACGUGCGCUGCUGAGGUUUUUGCCUGGGCGUUUGGGGAGGAGGGGGGGGAUGCUUUUUUGCCACCCCCUGUUAAGUGCAGCCCAAUUUGUGACAUAACAGGGAAAAAACGUAAAGCAAGGACCCGUGCUGUACCGUACACCGUGGGAACCGAUCCUGGCGUGACAGGUAGGUCUGACUUACGGUUUAGGAGUCCCUGGGACGCGAUUUACGACGAUGACCGGGGUCAGAAGAAGCUGGACGGACGGAAAAGGCCUGAACAGGAUU